rnacentral:rRNA from 1 species
UACAGAGGUCUCAAGCGUUGUUCGGAUUCAUUGGGCGUAAAGGGUGUGUAGGUGGCGCGCUAAGUCGGGUGUGAAAUUUCGGAGCUUAACUCCGAAACUGCAUUCGAUACUGGCGUGCUUGAGGACUGGAGAGGAGACUGGAAUUCAUGGUGUAGCAGUGAAAUGCGUAGAGAUCAUGAGGAAGACCAGUGGCGAAGGCGGGUCUCUGGACAGUUCCUGACACUGAGACACGAAGGCCAGGGGAGCAAACGGA